AAAGCAUUCCAUAUUUUUAAUACUAAAAUUAGAACAGUACAGAGAAGAUUAGCAUGGCCCCCUGCGCAAGGAUGGCAUACAGAAUUAAAGAUCUGCAGUGCAUGUUU